AUCUAAAUAGUUUAAAUAAAAUAUUAAUUUGUGGAAUUAAAGAUUAUAUUAUAUUUAGAU
rnacentral:tRNA from 1 species